rnacentral:rRNA from 1 species
AGCUCCAAUAGCGUAUAUUAAAGUUGUUGCAGUUAAAAAGCUCGUAGUUGGAUUUCUGCUUUCAGAGGUUGGUCUGGCUUUGCUAUGCACUGAUCUUCUGAGGGCAUCCAUCUGGGGAACGUUACUGCACUUCACUGUGUGGUGCGCGAUCCAGGACUUUUACUUUGAGAAAAUUAGAGUGUUUCAAGCAGGCGAUAGCCUUGAAUACAUUAGCAUGGAAUAAUAAGGUAGGACUUUGGUUCUAUUUUGUUGGUUUCUGGGACCGAGGUAAUGAUUAAUAGGGAUAGUUGGGGGCAUUCGUAUUUAACUGUCAGAGGUGAAAUUCUUGGAUUUGUUAAAGACGAACCGCUGCGAAAGCGUUUGCCAAGGAUGUUUUCA